GUAGUCAUAUGCUUGUCUCAAAGAUUAAGCCAUGCAUGUCUAAGUAUAAGCAACUAUACGGUGAAACUGCGAAUGGCUCAUUAAAUCAGUUAUCGUUUAUUUGAUAGUACCUUACUACAUGGAUAACCGUGGUAAUUCUAGAGCUAAUACAUGCUGAAAACCCCGACUUCGGAAGGGGUGUAUUUAUUAGAUAAAAAACCAACGCCCUUCGGGGCUCCUUGGUGAUUCAUGAUAACUCAACGAAUCGCAUGGCCUUGCGCCGGCGGUGGUUCAUCCAAAUUUCUGCCCUAUCAACUUUCGAUGGUAGGAUAGUGGCCUACCAUGGUAUCAACGGGUAACGGGGAAUGA
rnacentral:rRNA from 1 species